ACUUUACUUGCUGAUCAUCUAGAUUAACACUGUUGUUGUACAUAUCCGAGAGUCCACCGUCCACAACCUGAACCUUCCAACCCAUUUUCUCUUGAAAUAUCGAGUGAUAAUAGAGCUGGUCAGGUGUGUUUCUAUUAGGAGCCCAAACGAGCUCUAACGGACUCGACAAUACUCCAUGAGUUUCUUGCCCACCCGCAUAGAUCGUCUCUGUUCUGUUCCUUAGAGAAGCAUUCCCACCGAGAAAGUCUGAAGUUAUGUAGAACGAGACGUCGUGUCCUGCUUCUAUUGAAAACUUCACAGGAACACCUCUUUCCACUCUCAGCACCGGUGCUUCUUUCUUGUUGAUGUACAGAACCUUCGCAGGGUUUGGAGGGUUCGGAUAAUGAACAGAUGGUCCAGCCGUGACAACAAGAGGUGCGUUGGCAUCAGCAAUGAUCACACCUUGAUCAUACUUGUUGUCUGCGUCCAAUGGUCCCAAACACUCAUCCACAUGAUCAGAGAGACUAAGCGAAAAAUGCCCGUAGUUUUCCGAUUCCACACCGCCGUGAUUCUCAGGUAGAUAGUAAGGAUUGAUAACAUCUGGUGGUUUUAUCACCCCAAGCGCCCAAAUAACCGUGAGAUUCUCAGUUGCAUUCACAGGAAAAUCAAACUUAUUAUCACUAUCAUUCAACGGCCUCCUAUACCUAACAAACGAAACUCCAUCUAUCCUAUGCCCGUAAACAAGUUUUGUGUUAUUCACCGAAGAGCCAACUGCAUCUGAUCCUUCAUACACAGUGUCAGGACAAACCCCAGCGGCAAAACCAUCCCUGACAGAGCAUACACUCGUCUUUGUAAUGUAGAAAUCAUCAGCGAAAGGGAAGCCAUCCUCUCUAAUCCCAGUAAUCACAACAUCAGCGUUCAACAUGAGAUUUGAGGUAGUGUUCGGCUUAGCCCAACCAAACGCCAUGUAGUUCAGUAAACCAGUUGUAGCCUCUAGACCAAUAUCUACAUAACCUUCAUCUACAUUCAAGGUCCACCUGAGCCUAUACUUAUCAGAAAGCUUCUUGCAAUUAUCAAACAUGGUAGGAGCCUUAAAGGGCUCACUGUUAUUCGAUUUCCCAGGAGUAGCAGCGUCUUUACUCUCUGAAGGAGGUGAUUCGGAUUUUGAAGAAGACGAAUCUUGCUCUGUAGCAUUGGAGAGCAGAACAUGCCCAAAAUCAGAAGCAGUAGGUAAAUCCCAAACCGAAACCACUCCUAUACUAUCCCAUGUAACAUUAUCCAACAAUCGGACGACGAAAGAUUGAUUAUUGAACGUUUGAUUAAGCUUAUGAUCAGAGAUCACGAAGCCACUAUCAGUCAUGUUCUCGAAAUCAGAGGUCAUUGCACCCCACCAAUGAACAUCAGAACCAGAGAGCAUAUCGAAACGUGAAACCCUAAAGGAACAAUCAUCAAGAACGGUGAAAACCCCACGGAGCUGGUGUUGCAACAUCCUGAACUCGGACUCGUACCCGACCAAAGAGCUAGACUUUGAGCAUUUUUGCCCGUUUACGAAGAGGAAGAAGAAGAAACCCAACACGAGAGACCAACAACUCCUAUUACAACAGCUGAUUGACCAACGAUCGAGUGAGAAUACUCCCAGAUUAGUCGCUUCGAAGACAUUAGCUCCCCUUGAGCAGGCUUCGCCGGCCUUAGCCAAGCGUUCACGGGCUGAGCGCAAGCCAAAACUAUGGCUGUGAAACCGAACUUGACGUGGGACGAACUGAAGCUGAAACCGUUGAGUUCAGCUACUGCGAAGAGGAGACCGAGGAAGACAAUGGCUAGUCCUGAACACUGAAGAUACAUGUGAAUCUUGAACCAGCCAUCGCCCUUGAUGUGUUUCAGGUAUCUAGCAGAUAAUAUCCCACCAGGAAGCAAGAUUCCCCAAGCGAGGAACAUCAUGAAUCCAUGAACGCCCAAGACCGGUCUGAGAUCUUGCUCCGCUUCCGCUGAUCCACGCGUCAGCAUGACACGGACAGGUCUCUGACUUGUAACCGAGUGCAUGUUUCUCUCUGUUAACUGACCAUCUGUCCAUUUAGCACCCAUUGCCCAUAUCACUUUAAGAGGAGUUGUGGGAUCGAUCAUGUUCUUACACUCGGGUCUAUCUCGAUGACUGCAGGAAGGCUUCAAGGGACGGGUGAACUCAAGAGUGAUGAUCCCUUCUUCGGACUUGCAUCUCACAUAUGUCAUGUUCUCGACUGUAGGGUGAAUAGAGGAAGCUGAUUCUCCAUCAAUCCAGUACGUGUUUACGUGCCCUGUUCCGUUUCUAUCGAACCAGCCAACGUAAGCAUAACUAUUUGUCAUCUCGCUGCCGAAACCAAUUGCGAGAUAGCCGCUUUUCUUCUCCCCACGAGCUGCAAUCGAUAUUGAAUCACCUACUAUUGUCCAAAAGAACUUUACUUGCUGAUCAUCUAGAUUAACACUGUUGUUGUACAUAUCCGAGAGUCCACCGUCCACAACCUGAACCUUCCAACCCAUUUUCUCUUGAAAUAUCGAGUGAUAAUAGAGCUGGUCAGGUGUGUUUCUAUUAGGAGCCCAAACGAGCUCUAACGGACUCGACAAUACUCCAUGAGUUUCUUGCCCACCCGCAUAGAUCGUCUCUGUUCUGUUCCUUAGAGAAGCAUUCCCACCGAGAAAGUCUGAAGUUAUGUAGAACGAGACGUCGUGUCCUGCUUCUAUUGAAAACUUCACAGGAACACCUCUUUCCACUCUCAGCACCGGUGCUUCUUUCUUGUUGAUGUACAGAACCUUCGCAGGGUUUGGAGGGUUCGGAUAAUGAACAGAUGGUCCAGCCGUGACAACAAGAGGUGCGUUGGCAUCAGCAAUGAUCACACCUUGAUCAUACUUGUUGUCUGCGUCCAAUGGUCCCAAACACUCAUCCACAUGAUCAGAGAGACUAAGCGAAAAAUGCCCGUAGUUUUCCGAUUCCACACCGCCGUGAUUCUCAGGUAGAUAGUAAGGAUUGAUAACAUCUGGUGGUUUUAUCACCCCAAGCGCCCAAAUAACCGUGAGAUUCUCAGUUGCAUUCACAGGAAAAUCAAACUUAUUAUCACUAUCAUUCAACGGCCUCCUAUACCUAACAAACGAAACUCCAUCUAUCCUAUGCCCGUAAACAAGUUUUGUGUUAUUCACCGAAGAGCCAACUGCAUCUGAUCCUUCAUACACAGUGUCAGGACAAACCCCAGCAGCAAAACCAUCCCUGACAGAGCAUACACUCGUCUUCGUAAUGUAGAAAUCAUCAGCAAAAGGGAAGCCAUCCUCCCUGAUCCCAGUAAUCACAACGUCAGCAUUCAACAUAAGGUUUGAGGUAGUGUUCGGCUUAGCCCAACCAAACGCCAUGUAGUUCAGUAAACCAGUUGUAGCCUCUAGACCAAUAUCUACAUAACCUUCAUCUACAUUCAAGCUCCACCUGAGCCUAUACUUAUCAGAAAGCUUCU
rnacentral:lncRNA from 1 species